AGGCAGUGUAGUUAGCUGAUUGACAAACGCAACAGUCACUAACAACACGGCCAGG
rnacentral:pre_miRNA from 1 species